UACGAAGGGUGCAAGCGUUACUCGGAAUUACUGGGCGUAAAGCGUGCGUAGGUGGUUUGUUAAGUCUGAUGUGAAAGCCCUGGGCUCAACCUGGGAAUGGCAUUGGAAACUGGCGAGCUAGAGUGCGGUAGAGGGUAGUGGAAUUCCCGGUGUAGCAGUGAAAUGCGUAGAGAUCGGGAGGAACAUUCGUGGCGAAGGCAGCUACCUGGACCAGCACUGACACUGAGGAACGAAAGCGUGGGGAGCAAACAGG
rnacentral:rRNA from 1 species